ACCAAUAUUCUUAUCCCAAAUAUCGUAAUUCCCUAUCAAAAUCAAGUAUAUAGAAAUCUCCGAAGACGACUCGAUCGGUAAAAAAAGGAUAUAUCCAUAUAACCUCUUAUAACCUCUUAAGAUCCUCCUUGUAAAUAAGGUUGGGCCAAAAGAUUAAAAAAAACUGAUUUCCAAAGUUUGAGUGAAGUGGCAUCGGAUAAACAAAUUUCCUCUGGCCAUCUUCUCUCUGCAGUCUCCUCCAAUAUCUAACAGUAAAAACAAUUGAUCUUUUCCCUCAGCAACCCUUGUUUCCACAAUACUUCAUCUGACCAGGAUCUUCCUAAUCACGGGUUUGUUACCUUUAUUUUUGUAUUUUUCUAAACUCUAAGAAACUAUGAUAGCGCCUUGUUGCCAUUAUCGAUCGUAUCACACCUAAGGGUUACAUCACUCUCUUGGUUGCUUGUAUUGUGUCACAUGUUUAUUUGUGCGCUUGAUCAUAUGAAAGCAUCGUACCAUGUUAUAUAGUGGUUCAGUUUUUGUUCUAAGUGGAACGAUCAAUGUCUUUGUUUCACGUUUAGGCCGUAUAAAAAUAUGAGAGGGGAGGGUCAGAGAGCUUAAGUGACAAUGAUUUACGAGAGGAAAGUGUACGUCUUCAGUGAUCUCGCAGCUGAUAAAGCUGAACAUAUCUUACGCUUGGCAAAAGAUGAUGGAGCUUCCUUCACCACAAAUCUACAAUCAGAUUAAUCACCGUAUGGCUCCUACUCCUACUAACCCUAACCAACGGAACCGAUCCGUCUUAGUCCCGAAAACAUAUUAAAAGUUAACCGUAAAUGUGUUGUUUUGUGAUUUACAAUUUUUCAAAACUCUAAACCAAUAGUAUUCAUUUAGAAAAAUUACAUAAUUAACUCUAGUUUUAUUUUUAGUUGAUUACAUGAUAUAUAUAUAUAUAUAUAUAUAUAUAUAUAUAUAUAUAUAUAUAUAUAUAUAUAUAUAUAUAUAUAUAUAUAGUAUUCGUUUUUAUUUUAUCUUUACUGUAAUCCGUUGCUCUUUCUGUCAUAGUUUCUAAACAAAGCAGACACUGCACAUGUAUAUAGAAAUCACUCGUUUC
rnacentral:lncRNA from 1 species